AUUGAACGCUGGCGGCGCGCUUAACACAUGCAAGUCGAGCGAAGCGGCGGACGGGUGAGUAACACGUGAGUAAACUGCCUUAGACAUUGGGCUAGCCUCGGGAAACCGGGAUUAAUACCAAAUGGUCUAAGAUGGACUCGGGUCCCAUUAGCUAGUUGGUGGGUAACGGCCCACCAAGGCGACGAUGGGGAGCCGGCAUGGGAGAGUGAACGGCCACAUUGGAACUGAGAAACGGUCCAAACUCUACGGGAGGCAGCAGUGGGGAAUAUUGCACAAUGGAGGGAACUCUGAUGCAGCGACGCCGCGUGAACGAAGAAGGCUUUCGAGUCGUAAAGUUCUUUUAUAUGGGACGCGGGACCAUAAGAAAAAGCACCGGCUAACUACGUGCCAGCAGCCGCGGUAAUUC
rnacentral:rRNA from 1 species